AGAACGACUCUCGGCAACGGAUAUCUCGGCUCUCGCAUCGAUGAAGAACGUAGCGAAAUGCGAUACUUGGUGUGAAUUGCAGAAUCCCGUGAACCAUCGAGUCUUUGAACGCAAGUUGCGCCCCAAGCCUUCGGGCCGAGGGCACGCCUGCUUGGGUGUCACGC
rnacentral:rRNA from 3 species